AUGGCUCCGGCCUCCUGGGGAGGCAGGGGAGGAGGGGGAAGAGAACGAAGAGGCGGCUCGGGCUGGCUCCCCCGGGAGAUCUCACCUUUUCGAGAGGUCCAUGAGGACCCCGGAGAAGAGCUUCUCCCCCAGCCGGAACGAGACCACCAGGGCGUCCUCGAUGAUGUGAUCCAGGGUGACCCGCACCUCCGAGCCGGGCAGCAGCGGAGCCUCCGCCUCCCCUUCGCCGGGAGCCCCGGCCACCGGCGACUCGGGCUCGGCAGCGGCGGCAGCAGCAGCAUCCGGCUCCUCCUCCUCCGGCCGGGACGGCUCCUCCCCGGGCUCCGGCUUCGCGGAGCCCCCAGUAGCCGGCGGGCAGGGCUGCGGCUCCUCCUCGGGAAGUCGGGGCUGCCCAGCAGGCGGCGGGCAGGGCUCGGGCUCCGGGCUGGGCGCUCCCCGCAGCUCAGCCCGGGCCGAAGCAGCCGCCGCCAGCACCGCCUCCGGGGCGGCGGGCGGAGGAGGCGGCGGCUUCUCCGGCCUCUGCGCCUCCGCCUCCCGCCUCCCGGCCGGGCUCCGCGCGGGCUGCGGCUCCUCGGCCUCACCGGGAGCAACCUUGCCGCCGCCGCCGCCGUCGGCCUCCUCCCCGUCGGGCACCGCCGACUCCACGGCCUCGGUGACGGCGGGCAGAGGGUCCGCGCCGGCCUCGCUGCCCGGGAUGGGCUCCAGCUCGGGCUCGGCAUCGCCGGCCCCGCCGUCGCCCGGCACCGCCGCAGUCGCCGCCGCCUCCGCAGCCGUGGCCGCCAUUUUGUGUGCUGCCUCCCUCCAGCAGCGGGAUCGAUAGCUGCGGCCUUCCCCCGCCCGCCUGGGAGGGAGGGCCCGCCCCCUAGGCUCGCAUCCGGCGGCCUAUUGGCGGGCGCGCCGCGGCUCUCUGCUCCUACUGGACAGAGGAGCCGUCCGUCAAGCCCGCCUGGAACUUGCUGUUGGCCGGCGGGGACUUCAUUCAAUAGAAAGCCGGGAAGAGGAUGA
rnacentral:lncRNA from 1 species